GAGUAUGCAAGCAGGUAGAAACCAUUCCACGGGGGGCCGACGUUGGCUUCCUUGGUUGGGCUAUGGAGCUGGAUUCUAAAGAGAAAGUCUCCACUGACUGUGUUCCUCAAGCUGCAAAGAUGAAUCAAGAUUCAAUGGUUUUUGAAAACCAUGGAAGCAGAGGUACUGCCCAGCCUUGCCCAAGAUGUAUGGCUGGAGAAUCUGGACACUUCAGUCAUAUUCUGCACUCGUAGAGAU